UUUGUCUAUCAGGUCUUGACCCACAAGAUAACCAUUCCACCAGCACCUCUGACGUACCAGUGACUGGCGCUGCCAAAACAGAUCCUUAUCACUAUCUGACGCAACAGCAUUUCACCUCGGAGAUCUUCAAGAUUGAGAUCCAAAACCUCCCAAGAUAUUUUGGAUUUGCGCUGCUAAGAAGAUAAGAAGGAGGCAUUGAAAGUACUCAACGGACACAAAUGGAAAGGACAAGUGCUCAAAGCCAAGCUCGCCAAGCCAGUUUAGGACCCGGACACUAAGAGCCUCGCUCUGAAGAGAAGCCAAGAGGAAUCUGAUGGAAACACCCAAGAAGCUAAGAGGAGGAAGGAGGAGGACAGCUGACCAGUAGAAGAGAGGUUAAACAACACGGUGACUCCACUGUGGAACCAGCCGUAUGAGGACCAGCUAUCCACCAAACAGACCAACACCAGGGAGUUUCUGAGGAAUUUAUCCAAGAUGCUGCAACGGAACAUUGGGGAGAUGUCUCCCUGGCUGAAGCAACAAAGAUAACACUGCUGGUUUCCGGCUUCGUGCUUACAAAGGUCUUGACCCACAAGAUAACCAUUCC